rnacentral:rRNA from 1 species
UUGUGACCCCAGGUUGGGCGGGGUGACCCGCUGAGUUUAAGCAUAUCAAUAAGCGGAGGAGAGGAAACUUACGAGGAUUCCCUUA